GAGUCGGAGUGUAUCACAGAACCUGGGCCGGGGGGACAGCGGCGCCGAGCCUCCUCCUCCAGCGGCCAGCGGCCAGCGCCCGAGGCUGGACCCGCGCUCUCCGCGCGCCCCCAGCCGCCGGCCCGUCGGACUCCAGAAGCACGCAAGUCAGCCCGAGGCCCGGGGCGGCCCCGCGGCUCCCUAACCCUCCGGGAGAAUCGCAAUCCAGCCCCGCCGAGCCGUGCCCCCGCCCGCGCCGACUGCUCCAGAACUUCGUCCAAGCGGACGCGAGACCGGCCUCCUCCAGAGUCCGCGCGGAGGAACUUUUCUGCCUGCGCGGGCGCCGCUCCUCCCCGGCCGGUCCGGGCGGCACCAAGUUCCCCAGCGCCCAGCGGGCGACUUGACCGGCCUCUCUUUCCCCUCCUGCCUUCUCUCUGACUUGUGGGUUUGGUUUGCACCGACGUCCGCAGGCUGUCCUGAGGCCAGCAGAAAACACAGGCAAAGUCCAGUUUGUCUUUUGACUCCUGGUCCUUUGAUGUUGGGUACCACACUCACUCAUCCCAGGUGACUGGGGAAUGGGGGUUUCCUCUGCUGAAUGGUUUCAAGCCAUCUCAUUCUUCAUCUCAACUUCAAUGUCAUCACCAAAAGGCCUUCUCUGACAACCACCGAAUCUGACUUGGCAUUGCGUACUACAAAAAUAGAGAUAAUGUGCCUGUGGAAUCGCUGGUGCCCCAAAGAGGACACGUGACAGGUCCAGUGAAACCAUGUUUUAUGUGCUAUGCAAAUAUUUGAGUGCUUCCUAUGUGCCAGUUACUUUUUUAGUCACUGGGAUGCAACAACAGCCAAGGCUACCAGAGUUAUAAUAAUGAACAUUAAUCAAUGCUAUUUGGUAUAAUGGAGGAAAAGACAGUAUUUUAAUUGCUUGGAUUCCAGAUGAUCAGAAGUUAUGUCAAUGGUCAUGCCGGCUCAAUGUUAUUAAAAAUACUAAUUUGGGGCUUCCCUGGUGGCACAGUGGUUAGGAAUCUGCCUGCCAAGGCAGAGGACACAGGUUCGAGCCCUGGUCCGGGAAGAUUCCAUGUGUCACGGAGCAACUAGGCCCGUGGGCCACAACUACUAAGCCUGUGCUCUACAGCCUGCAAGCUACAGCUACUGAGCCCGUGUGCCACGAUUACUGAGGCCCGCGUGCCUGGAGCCGGUGCUCCACAGCAAGGGAGGCCACUGCAGUGAGAAGCCCACGCACCGCAGCGAAGAGUGGCUGCCACUCGCUGCAGCUAGAGAAAGCCCACGUGCAGCAAAGACCCAAAGCAGCCAAAAAUAAAAUAAAUUUU